GACGAACGCUGGCGGCGUGCUUAACACAUGCAAGUCGAACGGAAAGGCCCCUUUGGGGGUACUCGAGUGGCGAACGGGUGAGUAACACGUGAGUAACCUGCCCUUGACUUCGGGAUAACUUCAGGAAACUGGGGCUAAUACCGGAUAGGAAUCCUUGCUGCAUGGUGGGGGUUGGAAAGCUUCGGCGGUUUUGGAUGGACUUGCGGCUUAUCAGCUUGUUGGUGGAGUAGUGGCUUACCAAGGCUUUGACGGGUAGCCGGCCUGAGAGGGCGACCGGCCACACUGGGACUGAGGUGCGGCCCAGACUCCUACGGGAGGCAGCAGUGGGGAAUAUUGCACAAUGGGCGGAAGCCUGAUGCAGCAACGCCGCGUGCGGGAUGACGGCCUUCGGGUUGUAGACCGCUUUCAGCAGGGGCGAAGCUUGUGGUGACGGUACCUGCAGAAGAAGCACCGGCUAACUACGUG
rnacentral:rRNA from 1 species